rnacentral:rRNA from 1 species
UACGGAGGGUGCAAGCGUUAUCCGGAUUUACUGGGUUUAAAGGGUGCGCAGGCGGAUAUGUAAGUCAGUGGUGAAAUCUCUAGGCUUAACCUGGAAAUUGCCGUUGAUACUAUAUAUCUUGAAUGUUGUGGAGGUAAGCAGAAUAUGUCAUGUAGCGGUGAAAUGCUUAGAUAUGACAUAGAAUACCUAUUGCGAAGGCAGCUUACUACGCAGAUAUUGACGCUCAUGCACGAAAGCGUGGG